rnacentral:lncRNA from 1 species
GGCCUGAAAGUACAGAUCCUCUACUUCGCAUGCAUAUCAGACAACACAAUAAAGUGGGAUGAACUCUGAUCAAAUCAUCUUUGCAACCCAAUCAAAUGAGAGAGAAGAGGUGCUAGUGUGAUGCCUCACACCAACAAGGAGGAUGCCUAAGAUGGGUCCCAUGCCAAGGAGAAAGGGGGUGGUCACAAGGGAGAUGCCAA